CACACUCAUGCAGCCAAAGACUUCUGGAAGCUUCUGGGUGGCCAAACCAGUUACCAGUGUAAGACUUUAUUGCACUUCAGAGAUUGACAAGACUUGAAUCUGCUUUCUUCUCCCUUAGCUCAUUCUUCUAAACCAGCUAUUUUGAAAUGUAAAAUGUGGUGCCCUCCUGUUGUUCUUAUCCCCAAGCUGCUGGAGACCCAAAAGAAGAUGAACUCUAUGAAGCAGCCAUAAUAGAAACUAACUGCAUUUACCGUCUCAUGGAUGACAAAUUUGUUCCUGAUGACAACUACUGGGGGGAAAUUCCAAAAUGCUCCCUUCUGCAACCCAAAGAGGUACUGGUGUUUGAUUUUGGUAGUGAGGUUUACGUAUGGCAUGGGAAAGAAGUCACAUUAGCACAACGAAAAGUAGCAUUUCAGCUGGCAAAGCACUUAUGGAACGGAACCUUUGACUAUGAGAACUGUGACAUCAAUCCCCUGGAUCCUGGAGAAUGCAAUCCGCUUAUCCCCAGAAAAGGACAGGGGCGGCCCGACUGGGCGCUAUUUGGGAGACUUACUGAACACAAUGAAACAAUUUUGUUCAAAGAGAAGUUUCUGGAUUGGACAGAACUGAAGAGAGAGAAUGAGAAGA
rnacentral:lncRNA from 1 species